CAUAUCCUGAAAAAAAAAAAAAAAACGAGGAUUGCAAAAUAUAUCGCAUCAUUAACAAGAUACACCAAAAACUAAAACGCAUAAAAAUUAGAAUAAUAUAGAAUAAAAGCUCCGUGUACACGCGCGUGUAGCUGGGACACUACAAGACGCUUUGUCUCGCAGGUAUCAUGUCCAAACACCAGUAGUUAACAGAGCGACGCGUUGUCCGCAAAGCUGUCUCAUGGGCACAGUGUUUUAAUCAACAUUUGAAUGAUGUAUGUAUUGGGUCUAAGGAGACAUUGUACAUGGACGACUGUGAACGGAGAACGGAUUCCGACCGCUUGCUUAAAAAUAGUUAAAAAUAGCAAUGCAAUGAAUCUUGUAUUUAUUGCUUCUUGUCACGGUGCGUGAACCGCCGUCGAUUAGCUCUGCAUAUUUGAAAGACAAUGUGAUUAAAUGUUAUCAUCAUCAUCAUCAUAUUCUCUUAUUUUGAGAAUCAGAGUCCACGUUCAAUGCUUAGAAAGAAAAAAAAACACUUAUCCGCUAGAGACGAGAAAGAUGAGUCGUGACAAACAUUAACUUGGAAUUCUGUUCUUAAAACUGCAUGUGUCACGAGUAACUGCCUAGAAUUAUAAUAUCCCUUGUAAUUUAGAUAAAGAAAAACGGGAAAUCAG